AACAGGAUUAGAUACCCUGGUAGUCCACGCCGUAAACGAUGUCGACUUGGAGGUUGUGCCCUUGAGGCGUGGCUUCCGGAGCUAACGCGUUAAGUCGACCGCCUGGGGAGUACGGCCGCAAGGUUAAAACUCAAAUGAAUUGACGGGGGCCCGCACAAGCGGUGGAGCAUGUGGUUUAAUUCGAUGCAACGCGAAGAACCUUACCUACUCUUGACAUCCAGAGAACUUAGCAGAGAUGCUUUGGUGCCUUCGGGAACUCUGAGACAGGUGCUGCAUGGCUGUCGUCAGCUCGUGUUGUGAAAUGUUGGGUUAAGUCCCGCAACGAGCGCAACCCUUAUCCUUUGUUGCCAGCGGUUAGGCCGGGAACUCAAAGGAGACUGCCAGUGAUAAACUGGAGGAAGGUGGGGAUGACGUCAAGUCAUCAUGGCCCUUACGAGUAGGGCUACACACGUGCUACAAUGGCGCAUACAAAGAGAAGCGACCUCGCGAGAGCAAGCGGACCUCAUAAAGUGCGUCGUAGUCCGGAUUGGAGUCUGCAACUCGACUCCAUGAAGUCGGAAUCGCUAGUAAUCGUGGAACAGAAUGCCACGGUGAAUACGUUCCCGGGCCUUGUACACACCGCCCGUCACACCAUGGGAGUGGGUUGCAAAAGAAGUAGGUAGCUUAACCUUCGGGAGGGCGCUUACCACUUUGUGAUUCAUGACUGGGGUGAAGUCGUAACAAGGUAACC
rnacentral:rRNA from 1 species